AAGAAAAACACUUGAUUUAAACAAAAGAAAUGUGCCAGCGUAUAUACAGAUUUAGAAAGAAAAACAAAAUUUCAAGGCAGCCAACAUAUAUACAGAUUUAGAAAGAAAUGGGCCACUCAAUUCUAAUUAACAUUAACUAUUUUUUUAAUCAAACCAUUUCUGCAUUUAAUUAUCUUCAACAACCAAAAAAAUGCAUUAAUUGUCCUCCUCAAAACCCUACUAUAAAUACCAAUGACAACACACGACGGCGCCGCACCGGCCUUUACAGCGCCCCUCUCUGCAAAUUCUCUCUUCGCAGCCCUUUACAGCCCCCCUCUCUCCACCUCCGAUCCAUUUUUUUUCACUGCCAUAUCUACAAAGCAUAAGCAACAAUUUCUCUCUUCGCAGCCCACACUCUUUCUACUCUAUUGGGUUUUUUUUUUACCAUUCUACAAAUCUGAAAAAACAACUUUUUCACAGAAGAAUACAAUACAGAUAUCCAUUUGAAGAAGCGGUUGUUGCAGAUCUAAAGAUUCAGAUCGGCGAAUAUAUUAGAUCUACAUAACUACAUUGAAUCACAUCUUACAUCCACAAAAAAAAAAGUUGAGUUUCCAAAAAAUGUUAAUCAUCUAAAUCUACAUUUAUGUAACUAAAAAACAUUUCAAUCCUCUAUAUCGCAGAUUUUCGAAGAAGUAGUGUUCAUCAUUUACAUCUACAACUACCUAAUAUAAGCAAGUAAUCACUUAUCUUCAAAAAGAAUUCAAAAUAAAUCACCAUUACACUCACAUGAUUCGACGAUGUCUUCCUUCUUCCGUUUACCACAUAUCUUCGUAGAUUUACUUAACUUCUUCAUAUCACCUUUUCACCACAGCAACAGUACCUUGGCCAAAACCCAAAAAAAUAAGUCCCUUGUUAGUGAACACGUAGAAUGAUUUUAUUAAUUUGAAAUGGCUUUGUAAACACUGUCAAGUUUUUUUUUAUUCAUCAUUGUUUAUAUCUUCUUAUGUGCUUUUUAACAUACUAAGUAUCCUUUUUUCAUAUAUAUGUACAAUUGUAACAGUUCUAGAGUUCCAUCAAACAGUACAAAAAAAUUCCUUCAAAUUCAGUUUAACUAUUAUGAUAUUUUACCUAAGAUACUUUAGUUAAGAAAUUCUCCUUCAAAUUCAGUUUUACAAAAAAAAAAAUCCUUCAAAUUCAGUACCUUCAAUACCUUCAAUAUGAAUUACACACACAUCAUAAUUCCUUCAUUUUAACUAUUAUGAUAAUUUACAUUGCUUUUCACUUAAUUUUCCUUCAAAUUCAGUUUUACAAAAAAAAUAUUAAUCUCAGUGCAAUUUUAAAACGAAAAAAUUGGGUUUUUUUUACAAUCGAGUCAUAAACCAAAUCAUAAAUCAAUUUUUAAUUCAGGCGCUACUCUAUAAUUUUUUUUUUCUAUCAUCAUAAAUGCGUUUCAGUCUGACCAUGCUUUUUUUCUCUAUCAUAAUAAAUGAUCUGUACAACUAUUUUUUAAUUCAGCUGCUAAGAAAUGCUCUAUAAAGCUAUUCAUCUGAAUCACAAAUAGUUGCAAAAGAAUUUAUUAAUUGAGGCACUAAGAAAUGGCGGCUAUAGUACAAAUUUGGAAGUAAAAAAUUGAACUUUAAAAAAAAAUCUUUCUCUAAGAUUCGUAUAAUAAAUAUCAGCAUUAAUUAGUGCACAUGCAAGCCCACACAAAAUACAUAUACAUAUAUCACGCAAAUCAAAACAAAAAUUGUGAGGCUCAAAAUAAAAGCCGGGAAACUGUGUGUCUCGAAUUGUAUUUAUGAAAGUAAAUAGAAUUCAUGUUAAAAAUUACUACAAUAAAUAAAUUGGUGUAUUUGUUGACACUUUUUAAAGUUCAUGUUACAAAUCAAAAUAUGUCCAAAUUUAGUGUAUUUAUAUGCCAAUAACCCAUAAAAUAAUAAUAAAUAAAAUCGUAACCAUGUAGUCAAUACAGCGCCCAUCAAACUUGUUAAAUUUGGAUAAAUAAAAAGAACAGUUAAAAUAUCUUGGGCGGAGGGUGAAACUUUCUUCAUUAUUCAAAAAUCAAUUAAUCAUAAUUAUGAACAAAUUAUAAAUAACUUAAAGAAGUCAUAUUGAAAAAUCAAUUAGAGCAUUAAUCAUCCUUCUGUAUUUUUAAAACAGAAGAUCUUUAUUUUUUUUGCAUAUUUAUCUUUCUUUUUUUAAUUUUUUUCAUUCUUUAGUUUUUUUGUGUGUUUAUCUUAUAAUUUUCAUUUUCAUAGAUCUAAUAAUAUCUACACUAAUGGGUUCAUAAAGAAUAAUUUUUUUAUACUGAGAUCUUUAUUUUUUUUUCGCUUAUUAGUUUUUGGUUUUGUACAUUUUCAUUUUUAUUGUUUUGAUAGUAUCUUUAGGUUCUUUAAGUAUGCCAGGGUUCACCGCUUGGUUCCCGAACCUCCUGUCUUCCCCACACGUACUCAAGUACUUGAAUAUUCGUCUUCUUCUUCUCUGUCACUUGACUUCUCUGCUCUGCCACUUCUUCCUCUCCUCUGCUCGAGAAGACUCGACUUCUCUGCUCUGGCAGACUUGACUUCUCUGCUCUGCCACUUCUUCCUCUCCUCUGCUCGAGAAGACUCGGCUUCUCUUCUCUGGCAUACUUGAAUUCUCUGAUCUGGCACUUCUUCCUCUCCUUUGCUCGAGAAGACUCGGCUUCUCUGCUCUGGCAGAAUUGACUUCUCUACUCUGCCACUUCUUCCUCUCCUCUGCUCGAGAAGACUCGGCUUCUCUGCUGUGGCAGACUUGACUUCUCUACUCUGCCACUUCUUCCUCUCCUCUGAUCGAGAAGACUCGGCUUCUCUGCUCUGGCAGACUUGACUUCUCUCCUCUGCCACUUCUUCCUCUCCUCUGCUCGAGAAGACUCGGCUUCUCUGCUCUGGCAGACUUGACUUCUAUGCUCUGCCACUUGACUUAUUAAUGGUAUCAAAAUCGUAAAAAACGUGUGGAGAGUUGGCCCAAUUCUCAUGAAAAUGAGUGAAGAAAAUUGGUACCAAAAUAUAGUAUAUAUAUUGAGCCUGUGCUCUCAAGGUUUUUUCAAUCUUCUUUUUUCAAUAAAAUUUUCAUUUCAGCAGAUAAAUUUUAACUUUAGUCUGCAAGGUUUAAAGUAUUUUCUUUUAAGUGAAGUCUCUUGGUGCUAAAGUGAAGUAUCUUGUAUUUUAUGUGAAUGAUUGUUUUAAUAUAUUUUCUAAAAAAUACAAAUAUGUCUGCAUUAAAAAACAAAUGUUUUAAAUUAAUUUAAUUCUCACAUUUUAGAUGCACAUAAAUAAUAAAUAAGGCAAUAUAAUGAAUAUGCAACAGAUAUCAUUCUCAUUGCAUAUUAGAAAAUAAAAAAUACAAUAACUGAGCUAUGUCUACUCAGAUUUCCUACAGACAGCCCUUCUCAUAAUCAUAACAUGCUAAUCUUACAGACUUGACUUAACUCUUACUUGCUUACAUACUGAUGAGGAGUAAUAUGUGCAGAUUAGGGAAAGAAUACAAAUCAGAGGAAUCGACCCCACUGGCGGGACGAAUAUGAUAGAAGAGAUACACUCAUCAGAGAAGUCAAUUCCAUCAGAGAGGUCACCAUCAUCAGAGAAGUCAUCCCCCUCAGAGAAGUCACCAUUGCCAGAGAAGUCCUCCACGCCAGAGAAGUCAUCCACGUCAGAGAAGUCCUCCACGCCAGAGAAGUCAUCAACGUCAGAGAAAUCCUCCACGCCAGAGAGGUCAUCCACGUCAGAGAAGUCCUCCACGCCAGGGAAGUCAUCCGUGCCAGAGAGAUCGCCUCUUUCAGAAGGAUCGCCAAAGACGCGGAGGAUUUUCCCGCGUGAAGAUGAAAUUCCUGAUAUACCCUUCAAUCACGUCAAACGCAUGCACUAGCAUCAAUUUUACCUUUUUACCCUCAAUUGUAAUCUAUAAAUAGGCCUCGUGCUCGUGUAUUACAUUUUUUACGCUAUCACUCGCUUUUGAAUACAACAGCUACAUUUUGCUCUCGUGUUCAA